rnacentral:rRNA from 1 species
GAUUCCUACGGGAGGCAGCAGUGGGGAAUAUUGCACAAUGGGCGCAAGCCUGAUGCAGCGACGCCGCGUGGGGGAUGAAGGCCUUCGGGUUGUAAACUCCUUUCGCUAGGGACGAAGCUUUUGUGACGGUACCUAGAUAAGAAGCACCGGCUAACUACGUGCCAGCAGCCGCGGUAAUACGUAGGGUGCGAGCGUUGUCCGGAAUUACUGGGCGUAAAGGGCUCGUAGGUGGUUUGUCGCGUCGUCUGUGAAAUUCUGGGGCUUAACUCCGGGCGUGCAGGCGAUACGGGCAUAACUUGAGUGCUGUAGGGGUAACUGGAAUUCCUGGUGUAGCGGUGAAAUGCGCAGAUAUCAGGAGGAACACCGAUGGCGAAGGCAGGUUACUGGGCAGUUACUGACGCUGAGGAGCGAAAGCAUGGGUAGCGAACAGGAUUAGAUACCCUGGUAGUCCAUGCUGUAAACGGUGGGCGCUAGGUGUGAGGGUUUUUCUACGAUUCUCGUGCCGUAGCUAACGCAUUAAGCGCCCCGCCUGGGGAGUACGGCCGCAAGGCUAAAACUCAAAGGAAUUGACGGGGGCCCGCACAAGCGGCGGAGCAUGUGGAUUAAUUCGAUGCAACGCGAAGAACCUUACCUGGGCUUGACAUACACGAGAUCGCUGCAGAGAUGUAGUUUCCCUUUUGUGGUUGGUGUACAGGUGGUGCAUGGUUGUCGUCAGCUCGUGUCGUGAGAUGUUGGGUUAAGUCCCGCAACGAGCGCAACCCUUGUCUUAUGUUGCCAGCAUUUGGUUGGGGACUCAUGAGAGACUGCCGGGGUUAACUCGGAGGAAGGUGGGGAUGACGUCAAAUCAUCAUGCCCCUUAUGUCCAGGGCUUCACACAUGCUACAAUGGUCGGUACAACGCGUUGCGACACUGUGAGGUGGAGCGAAUCGCUGAAAGCCGGUCUUAGUUCGGAUUGGGGUCUGCAACUCGACCCCAUGAAGUCGGAGUCGCUAGUAAUCGCAGAUCAGCAAUGCUGCGGUGAAUACGUUCCCGGGCCUUGUACACACCGCC